GCCGGAUAUGGUGGCAUAUACCUGUAAUCCCAGAGGCUGAGGAGGCUGAGACAGGAGGAUUUUGAGUUCAAAGGCAGCCUUAGCAAAAGAGAGGUGCUAAGCAACUCAGUGAGACCCUGUCUCUA
rnacentral:sRNA from 1 species